AACACUUUGCAUGUUUUUUGUAUACUUGUCCCCUUUGUGUAUUGCUGCUAAUCUUUCUCUUUCUAGGUUCUGUUGGUUGCAUGCAGAUUGUGCCAGAUGAUUUAUCUGUCUAUGGUCUAAGCAUGGGCUCUGUGCUAAUAUGCAAUUUGUGCUCUUUUUUCCCUCAGGUCAACAGCAGACAGGGUCCUUCCACAACCACAUACUUAUGCCAGUAAAAGCCACAGCUUUUCUCCUCCAAUCCAAGAAGCCUGGACUGCAGUCACCAUCUCAACACACCAACCAAGAGAAAGGCAGAUGGCUCAAUUCAGUAUGUAGUUCUGCAAAUAUUCUCAAAGGUCUUCACAGCCCCCCAUGGUGCUGAAUGCAUUUACAUUUAUUUGUGUAAGGUAAAAACAAUGCUGAUUACAGAACAUAACUAGGGCCAUGAAUGAAAUUUGAGGUAGCAGCCAGUCAUCACCUGAUGGUGAGAGGUGGUCCUAAGAUCAGAGAGAAGCAGGUUGAAAUCCCAUCCUUACCUCUCCCUACCUACACCUCCAUCCACAGCUGAAGUGCACUUGAGCAAGGCACACAAGUCCACUUAGGUCCUGGGACUGUAGCCAACACCCUGUAAAACCCUGCUGUGUAAUUUGAUGUAAUGAAGCCCUAAUAUAGUCUAACACAUUGCUUGUUACAGAUAUGGAAAAUUGCACAAUAAAAGUUCCAGGACAUGAAGGCUGCAUACUGUGAACGUCAACCUUCAGGGCACCGUCCUGCGCAGAAGACUUUCUACCCUAAGAGGGAUGGCUGACCGCAGACACUCACAACCAGCACAGACGCCUCCAACCUCAGACUAGGCCCUUCACAGUUGCUGCACUUACCCACCUUCCCAGAGUUUUUGUGUGGUAAUGACAACUGUAAAUAUAGUAUAAAGUAAUGUAUCUAGUGUCAUGUGUAAUACAUUGUUUAAAUUGUCCAUACAUUUCAAUGACAGUAAAUAUUGGUGGACAC